rnacentral:rRNA from 1 species
UGGGGAAUAUUGCACAAUGGGGGAAACCCUGAUGCAGCGACGCCGCGUGAGUGAAGAAGUAUUUCGGUAUGUAAAGCUCUAUCAGCAGGGAAGAAAAUGACGGUACCUGACUAAGAAGCCCCGGCUAACUACGUGCCAGCAGCCGCGGUAAUACGUAGGGGGCAAGCGUUAUCCGGAUUUACUGGGUGUAAAGGGAGCGUAGACGGCGCGGCAAGUCUGAAGUGAAAGCCCGGGGCUUAACCCCGGGACUGCUUUGGAAACUGCCAUGCUGGAGUGCUGGAGAGGUAAGUGGAAUUCCUAGUGUAGCGGUGAAAUGCGUAGAUAUUAGGAGGAACACCAGUGGCGAAGGCGGCUUACUGGACAGUAACUGACGUUGAGGCUCGAAGGCGUGGGGAGCAAACA